GAUGAACGCUGGCGGCGUGCCUAAUACAUGCAAGUCGAACGCUGGAGAUCUAGCUUGCUAGCUCGAAGGAGUGGCGAACGGGUGAGUAAUACAUAAGCAACCUACCCACGAAGACUGGGAUAAUCUCUGGAAACGGGGACUAAUACCGGAUAGGUAAUCGGAAGGCAUCUUCUGGUUAUUAAAGGUUAAAAACACUGGUGGAUGGGCUUAUGGCGCAUUAGUUAGUUGGUGAGGUAACGGCCCACCAAGACGAUGAUGCGUAGCCGGCCUGAGAGGGUGAACGGCCACAUUGGGACUGAGACACGGCCCAGACGCCUACGGGAGGCAGCAGUAGGGAAUUUUCGGCAAUGGGGGCAACCCUGACCGAGCAACGCCGCGUGAGUGAAGACGGCCUUCGGGUUGUAAAGCUCUGUUGUAAGGGAAGAACGGUAGAUAGAGAAUAUCUAAGUGACGGUACCUUACCAGAAAGCCACGGCUAACUACGUG
rnacentral:rRNA from 1 species